ensembl:lncRNA
GUUCGAUUAAAAAAAAGGGUGAAAAACCAAAUGCAAACUGGCAAAGAGAGAAUCAGUCUAGAGAGCUGAUGAGGAGAGUGGAAACAGUGGAUCAGCCAUGGACAAAGGUUUGCUGCUGGUCCUGUUGUGUCUGCAGGUCGUCCUGCUCACCACAGUCUUCACUUCUGCUGAUGCAGCCGCUCUGCUGAGAGAUGAUCAGCAUCAACAACCUGUUGAUCCAAUCAGAAGUCUGCAGCAAGUGAAAAAAGGAGGACAGACGGAGCAGAAACUUCCAUACUGGAUAUUCUGUGGGAGGAGACGAGGAGGAUGCACUUUGACAGGACGUGUGCAACCUCCUGAACCAUCUUUUGACCACAUCAAGUCACACUCAAUAGACAUCUUGAGUCAAGCUCUGCAGGAAGUGCCAUUAGAUGCAAAAGACAGAAAAUGAAUGAAGAUAAUUGUAAUGCUUACAAAUCAAUGCAAGUGCUUUUUAUCAGAAAUAAAA